UCUGGUGUGGUGCACGGUGCACGGCGGCAUUUCGUGGGGAGUAUCUCAAGGUAGUUCUGCCGCAUGCCGGGGUUCGACUCCCCGUACCGGAC